UACAGAGGGGGCAAGCGUUAUUCGGAAUUAUUGGGCGUAAAGGGCGCGUAGGCGGCCUGGCAAGUGGAAGGUGAAAUCCCUCGGCUUAACCGAGGAACUGCCCUCCAAACUGCUUGGCUUGAGACCGGGAGAGGUGAGUGGAAUUCCCAGUGUAGCGGUGAAAUGCGUAGAUAUCUGGAGGAACACCGGUGGCGAAGGCGGCAUCCUGGACCGGUAUUGACGCUGAGGCGCGAAAGCCAGGGGAGCAAAGCGGG
rnacentral:rRNA from 1 species